rnacentral:rRNA from 1 species
AAAAGGGGGGCAACUCCCUGAGUACAGCGGCGCACGGGUGAGUAACACGUGGGUAAUCUGCCCUGGAGUGGGGAAUAACACCGGGAAACCGGUGCUAAUACCGCAUACGAUCACAGAGUCUGCGGAUUUUGUGAUGAAAGGAGCAAUUCGCUCUAGGAGGAGCCCGCGGCUGAUUAGCUAGUUGGUGAGGUAAUGGCUCACCAAGGCUACGAUCAGUAUCCGGUCUGAGAGGACGGUCGGACACACUGGAACUGAGACACGGUCCAGACUCCUACGGGAGGCAGCAGUGGGGAAUUUUUGGCAAUGGGGGAAACCCUGACCAAGCAACGCCGCGUGGGUGAUGAAGUCUCUUGGGACGUAAAACCCUUUCGACGGGGAAGAAAACCGCAAGGUUUGACGGUACCCGUAGAAGAAGCCCCGGCUAACUCCGUGCCAGCAGCCGCGGUAAUACGGGGGGGGCAAGCGUUGUUCGGAAUUACUGGGCGUAAAGGGCGCGUAGGCGGUGCUCUAAGUUAGAUGUGAAAACUCUGGGCUCAACCCAGAGCCUGCAUCUAAAACUGGAGUGCUAGAGUUCUGGAGGGGGUAGCGGAAUUCCUGGUGUAGCGGUGAAAUGCGUAGAUAUCAGGAGGAACACCGGUGGCGAAGGCGGCUACCUGGACAGAAACUGACGCUGAGGCGCGAAAGCUAGGGGAGCAAACAGGAUUAGAUACCCUGGUAGUCCUAGCCCUAAACGAUGGAUACUUGGUGUGACUGGGAUUGAAUCCAGUCGUGUCGAAGCUAACGCAUUAAGUAUCCCGCCUGGGGAGUACGGUCGCAAGGCUGAAACUC